rnacentral:rRNA from 1 species
UACGAAGGGGGCUAGCGUUGCUCGGAAUUACUGGGCGUAAAGCGCGCGUAGGCGGACCUGCAAGUCGGGGGUGAAAGCCCGAGGCUCAACCUCGGAACUGCCUUCGAUACUGCGGGUCUCGAGUCCGGGAGAGGUGAGUGGAAUUCCUAGUGUAGAGGUGAAAUUCGUAGAUAUUCGCAAGAACACCAGUGGCGAAGGCGGCUCACUGGCCCGAUACUGACGCUGAGGCACGAAAGCGUGGGGAGCAAACAGG